GUUGAAACACCGAUUCCUGUAAGAUCGCCGAAGUUAAGCAACGUCCAACCUGGCCAGUACCUGGAGGGUGACCGCUUGGGAAUGCCAGGUGCUGUAAG